UACGUAGGGGGCUAGCGUUGUCCGGAAUCAUUGGGCGUAAAGCGCGUGUAGGCGGCUGGUUAGGUGUGAUGUGAAAUCUUCGGGCUCAACCCGAAAACUGCAUUGCAAACCGGCCUGGCUAGAGUGCAGGAGAGGGAAGCGGAAUUCCAGGUGUAGCGGUGAAAUGCGUAGAUAUCUGGAGGAACACCGGUGGCGAAGGCGGCGACCUGGUCCGAUACUGACGCUGAGGCGCGAAAGCGUGGGGAGCAAACAGG
rnacentral:rRNA from 1 species